rnacentral:rRNA from 1 species
AACGAACGCUGGCGGCAGGCCUAACACAUGCAAGUCGAGCGCCCCGCAAGGGGAGCGGCGGACGGGUGAGUACCGCGUGGGAAUAUGCCCUUUGCUACGGAAUAGUCUCGGGAAACUGGGGGUAAUACCGUAUACGCCCUUUGGGGGAAAGAUUUAUCGGCGAAGGAUUAGCCCGCGUUGGAUUAGGUAGUUGGUGGGGUAAUGGCCUACCAAGCCGACGAUCCAUAGCUGGUUUGAGAGGAUGAUCAGCCACACUGGGACUGAGACACGGCCCAGACUCCUACGGGAGGCAGCAGUGGGGAAUCUUAGACAAUGGGGGCAACCCUGAUCUAGCCAUGCCGCGUGAGUGAUGAAGGCCUUAGGGUUGUAAAGCUCUUUCAGCUGGGAAGAUAAUGACGGUACCAGCAGAAGAAGCCCCGGCUAACUCCGUG